UACUAUAGUUUUUAUUUGCACUAUUUUUAUUAUUGUAUUUUUAUUUUUAUUUUUUCCUACAAAUAGUUUGAUCUGCAGUACUUUGAAUCUGAGGAUGCUGAACCCAUGGAUAAGGAGGCUGUAAUUUUCUUGGAUAAAUGCCCUGCAUCAGAAGAGUGUGUUAAACAGAAGCUCAGCUCCUUCAAGGAUAACAGUCUUGGCUACCCCACCAGUUACUCAAACAGAUCGAGAUGCAUGGAAUGGCAGAAACCUUCCGGUCUUCACUAAAGGAGCACACGGUGUAGGGAUACAGGUGAGAAGUUCUGAGCAGCGAUGAAGGGCUGGGGAAAGCCUAGAUUCUCUUCUCUCUUUAGACU
rnacentral:lncRNA from 1 species